GGUGUCAGGCACUUGUCUCUGGGAACAUGGCUCACUGUUCUGUCCCUUGUAGAGUUUCCUACUGGGUCUCUGGAGCAAGACUCAUUCAACCAAAACAGGCUGCCUUUCAUGGCCCCACAGUCCUUUAUAAGACUUGCCUUGGUCAUGGUGUCUGUUCACAGCAGUAAAACCCUAAGACACGUGGUUACAAUCAGCUAUUAUCUGCUUUGCAGAUACAAGGGCGAGCACAGGCAGAAGCAGAGACGUCUGGGAGAAUCCAGAGUGGACAGGACCAUGACUGACCAACUAGGUACGGCCAUGUCCAGUGCAACAGCAGACACCAAACAGGAAUCAGCAACAGCAGCACACUCCACCAGAAACAGCAAGGUUCUGCCAAAUCAGCACGAGUCAGUGGAAGUGGCCAAAGUCAGCUGGAAUACCACGAGAAGUUCUUUGCUCUGCCCAAAGCUGGGCUGUGAACUGAAUUGGGCAGAACUGGAAUUUAUGAUUUGAGCACUUCCACACAAACCUCCUUCACACCACCCUGCUCUGCAGUGAAAGUCUAAGAAGCUGAGAGGAACUAAGUCCUGAGAGGGAACCAGUCCCUGAAGCACGUGGUGAGCAUAAGAAAAACAACAAAGCUUCAUCCAGCAUCCACAGCACCAGCACACGUGACUGCUGCAGCGGCCACUGAGAGCGAGAGGGAAAUAUCAGCCCCGGGGAAGAGUAGGAAGCGGUGGCCACAAGGCAGCCUGAAUGCUGGUUUAUCACUUUGGAAUUCAGCUCCACUCAAGCUUUUCAGGAGAUGGGCAGAAGGCAGCAGCAGAGUCUUUUCCAAACUGUAACACGAGUGCCCGUAGUCGGAUUUCCAAGCCUGUCUGAACCUUGGGAACCUGGGGCUCCAUGUCUCUCUCAGCACUCUGGACUUCUGAACUCCUACCAGAAUAUCUCUUUAAGCCCUAAUUACAGCAUCCACAGCUUCUCUGACCUGCAGCUUCAAACUUUUCCAUGAUCUAGUUCCAUAAGUCUAUGAACCAUAUGAGUCGGGUUUAUCACAGUGACAGCCCUACUUCUGGUACUAUUUUUUUGUAUUAGUUACUUAGCUUGUUGGUGUCACAAAAUACCUAAUAAAAGCAAGCUACAAGAGGAAGGGCAAGAAAAGAAAAAAAAAAA
rnacentral:lncRNA from 1 species